rnacentral:rRNA from 1 species
UACGUAGGGUGCAAGCGUUAAUCGGAAUUACUGGGCGUAAAGCGUGCGCAGGCGGUUAUGUAAGACAGGUGUGAAAUCCCCGGGCUUAACCUGGGAACUGCAUUUGUGACUGCAUAGCUAGAGUACGGUAGAGGGGGAUGGAAUUCCGCGUGUAGCAGUGAAAUGCGUAGAUAUGCGGAGGAACACCGAUGGCGAAGGCAAUCCCCUGGACCUGUACUGACGCUCAUGCACGAAAGGCGUGGGGAGCAAACAGGAUU